UUUAAAAUGGGGAGGAUAUGUGCUAGUGUUGUUCUCUCAUGAUGAGCCCGGAAUGGUCGUGACUGCCAAUCAUUCCAGACAGAACAUUGCUAUUCAUGAUCUCAGUGGCAGAGUGUGGACUGGAGAGACAGGAAACUCUUAAUCAUAGACAGGAAGGAACACAGAGGGAGCUGCAGUGUCUCUGUGGUCAGACCGAAUGGAAAAGAGGAGAGAAAGAGAGAGAGUGUAUGUAAUAAGACUGUACUUUUCAGGGUUGGCAGAUCGCCCCAGAUCGCCCCAUGCUCGUUAUUUGGAUUUAUGUGUGAGACACAUUAACAGUAGAAUGGCAUGCAGAACUCCUACACCUCUCCACCUUCCUCAGACUGAGUUCAGAGGAGAGGAAAAGGUCAUUGUGAACGCCAGCUGGUCCAAAGGCCAGCUGGUCCAAAUCUCUAGGGUACAUGGAGUCAUCGGAUGGGAAAGACCUUCAUGGCGCCAGCAGCAAACUGGAAUAUUUGUCCAAAGAGUUUUUGGAGGUUCAAUCGUUGAAGAGGGUUGAGAGCACACUCAACCCACGUCCCCCGGUCCGGAAUAAUGGGCUGUUACUGUAGCUGUUUCUCAAUGUCAAGGAAGGAUCCUUCGAAGCCAGAAUUUGGAGGAUGCUACGUCAUCGACGUCCGUCGAAGGACCGUUCCAAUGUUGAGGAUCCUCCGAAUCCCACCAAGGGGGAGAAUUCGUUCGGAGAAUUUCCCAUAGACGGCAAAGGAUGCAUAUGUGUAUCCUUCGCGCUCCUAUAUUACCCACAAUCCUAUGCACAUGGCUUUGCCAGCUCGUAAAUGACGUAAUGACGUGUACUUGGUAGCCUGUUCCAUUGUACGUGUUCUUCGAAUGCUAAUGAGGAGCCUGGCCUAGCCUCUGAAGGAUCCUUCCUUGGAAGGACUAGUCCUACCAAGGAAGGAUCCUUGACAUUGAGAAACAGCUUGUGUCUUUCUGUUUGAUUCGUCAACAGGGUAGCCAAAACAAGUGCCUAGUACUGCAGCAAAAACUUUGUCUAGCAUGUCUUCUCAUGCACCUAACUACCGUAUAUCAAUGUUUUUUCAUCGCUUUGCUGAUCAGUGGACAGUAUAUAGCCUCUGUCAAAUAUGUAGCUUAAAGUGCCUGAAGACUCAACAUCAAAUCUUGUAAUGUUCACACAAUAUGCUCGUUAAGAAAAGUUAGUAUCAUCUUAAACACCCACCAAGAUACGAACCCAAAUAACAGCCCAUAACUAGAGGAAAAUGCACUUUCAAAAAAGAUGUCGCCACAUACAGUACAUUACCUAUGGCAGUGAAAACACAUGCAAUGUAAAAUGUGGCACAACUUCAGGUAACCUUUUCCCCAGAUCAGAAGUGCACUAAACUUAUUUUCAUCCAGCCAAUGUAGUGUGUGAUUGUAUAGGUAGCUACAUUUGCAGCUAAUGCAAGCUAAUGUUACCUGCUUGUAUAGCUAAUAAUAGCGCUAACUUAUACUAGCUAGCAUUUAGCAAAUACGAUCAAGGCAGAUAGGUAGAUAUGUCUUAAUCCCACCAAUAAAUAUCCAAGAAAUUGAAAAGAAAUUAAAUGCUUGGAGCAAGAUUAAUCAAAAUAGCAAUUAAAAUUGUACCUACUAAAGCACUGAAAUAAUAGAUUUUUAAGAGUAUUGCAAAAGUUUGUUUUCUACCCUUUUAAAGAUGAGUUAGUAUUUGCCUGUAUUUUUUUUACAUCAAAGAUGUUGGGCUCCUACUGAUUAAAAUAAAUAGGUUUUUACAUGACAAAUUGACGUGUUGGCUUGGCUUCUGCUAUAGCUAGCUUUUUUUUUUCAAACAAGUUAUCUGGACACUAGUACCCACUCUUUCUUUCCCUCAGCUCCUGAUCUUUCAAGAACAUUAUUUUAGGAGUUGCCUGAAGGGUGAGAGAAAUAGGAGAUAGAGGACUACAAUUUUGCUGAGGAACAGGACUCAUAAUGAGUACAACCAGCUACUCUUCUGAACUUUGUGUGGUGAGCUUUCUGGCGCCUAGAGCUACUGAGGCAUCACCCAAGCAGAUACCACACAGAAUGGAAGAGAAGUCCAGUGGCUUAAAUAACAGGCUGUUUCCCAGACUUGCCAACUAAAAGAUCAUCAACAGAAUCCAUCACCAUCAUCUACCCUCUAACUCUGAACUCCUCUCUUCAGUCAACCUCUGACCUCAACCUCUCCAUCUUUGGAAGAUGCAGCAUUUAAUCAUUUGGCAUUGGUUGGCUGGGGUGGUUGGCUGACCUGUAAUCAAAUGCUUGUUAGUUUUUUUGCUCUUGAAGUGUUUGAAAGUUCUAUAAAUUAUUAUACUAUAUACAGUAUAUGUGGCUUUUGUACAGUACAGUACCAGGCAAAGGUUUACUCAUUCAAGGGUGUUUCUAUAUUUGUACUGUUUUCCACAUUGCAGCAUAAUAAUGAAAACAUCAGAACUAUGAAA